ACCAUGUAAUACAUGUUUUUCACCUUCCACCAUGAUUGUGAGGCCUCCCCAGCCACGUGGAACUAGUGGGUGCACCAGUUCACAAUCCCGACAGAAAUGAUGUAGGAGGCAGGACUCAGCUCCAGAGGUGGCGCUCAGACACGGGACCAGAUUGAGGACAAGUUAACACAGGGCCUGGAUUCAAGCAAACAAGGGGCCCAAGAGAAAAAGACAGUAAUCCAGAAGAAUCCACACCACUCUCCAGAUAUUUUCCACAUCAGAUA